UACGUAGGGUGCGAGCGUUGUCCGGAAUUAUUGGGCGUAAAGAGCUCGUAGGCGGACGGCUUUGUCGGGCGUGAAAUUCCAGGGCUUAACCUUGGGGCUGCGUUCGAGACGGGUUGUCUAGAGUUUGGAAGAGGGUCGUGGAAUUCCCAGUGUAGAGGUGAAAUUCGUAGAUAUUGGGAAGAACACCGGUGGCGAAGGCGGCGACCUGGUCCUUGACUGACGCUGAGGCGCGAAAGCGUGGGGAGCAAACAGG
rnacentral:rRNA from 1 species